GAAGCUGCUAAAAGGAUAUAUGCCUUUGGAGGAUAUGAAGGGUCAGAGCCGCAGGCUACUACGGGGAUAACACAAAACCAAUCAAGAACAGGUUGUUGUUAAUAGAUACCAUAACAAUCUAAAUAGCUGAGCCCUGGAGUGACUCUGUGGUGUGAAGUACCAUUUGUAUUCUUCAAGUUAUUCAUUUCUCCAUAGCACAGCUAUUUCAUUAUUUUUUAUCUGUCUUAAGCUGUGUUUUCGUAAGGGGCAGAAGCAGAAUCGAUUGCAGCGCACCCAAGCGGGCAGAAACAGUAACACUCAAAGAACUAGUUCUUUGACAUGAAUUUUGCUUUAUGUGUUAUGGGUAAUGAACUUUUUGGGUUGUUCAAAAGGUAAUUCUAAAAUGAUUAUUGGAUAUUUAAUUGAAUAAAGUGAAUUAUUUGCUUUUUAUAACUCAGAUAACUUUUCCACAAUUAUUAGUUACUUCAAUUAUGCUAAAUUUUAUGCUUUAUAGGCAUGUCAAUCAAAGAGUUAACUUUUCAUUUCCUAUGCUUGAAAUUUGUAAGGGUAAAUUAUUUGAAGUAACUGAUUGUAUUUCAUUAUUAAUAAGAUAUUAUUUUAUUAACUAGAAGCAUUCCAUUAUUAAUAAUAUAUUAUUAUAAUUAUUUUAUCAACUAUAAUCAAUUGCCUUCAGAGUCAAUGCAUGUUCUUUGAAUCACAUCGUGUAUAAGUAGGCCUACCUACUAUGAGUACCGUAUUCAACUUCAAAGGCCUAUUAAAGCAAGCUUUACUUUUGGCAUUUUUGGAAUCUACGGGUUAUAUUAAUAUAACCAAGAGAAAUAAAUAUAGUAAACGUUUUUUAGGCAAUUUUAUUUUAGCAGUCCCCUUUUUGAUAAUUGGAUAGGUACGGUCCCGGCUGAUAUACUUAAAUAAGAAUCUUGAGGCCCAUUGACUGCCUAAAUCAAUAUGCCUUCUCAGGCAAGGUUCAAUUAGAGACUCCUCACCAGUAAAAGCUAUACAAAUAUUAAACAUUAUUAUUAUUAUUAUAGAUUACUGUAACACAUAUGACAUGUACAAAGUGUAUUCAAACAGGCGAACUAAUUCUAAUAAUUAUUGUUGAGAUAACUAUAUCUUGCUAGAAUAAACAGGUUCUGUUAUGGUACUUUAAAUAACACAUAGCCUACCGUAUUUUAAAAUGGAUAAAUAUCUAUUAAUUAUAGAAGGUAACUAGUACCCUUGUGAUAUUCCAAAUUGAAACAUGAUAAGUUUCGACAUUUUCAAUAAGGACUCUCUUGACAAUGACAUAAUUAGAAACUGGUCAUGCUUAUUUUGAAUAUAUUAGGGUAGCCUACUAGUUAUUUUUCAUAAUUAAACAUUAAAGUUGCCCUAUUAAAAUUAAUACUUUAUUAGAUAAUUAUUUACUAUAAUGUUCUAAAAGCUUAUCAAUUUUAAUCAAAACCUUGGAAAUAAAGCUACCCCUUCAAUGCAGUACAUAAGUACUAUUACUUAAUUCUUAAUGCAAUUAUUGUGAUAGCCUACCCUAUUUUAUAUCCUAUUCAUGUCUAUUAUUUAACUACAUGAGUUACCUAUAGCAUUUGCCAGUCAGCAAUGUUACAUAAUUUUAUUAUUUCCAAAAAAAAAAA
rnacentral:lncRNA from 1 species